GAUGAACGCUGGCGGCGUGCCUAAUACAUGCAAGUCGAGCGAACGGACGAGAAGCUUGCUUCUCUGAUGUUAGCGGCGGACGGGUGAGUAACACGUGGAUAACCUACCUAUAAGACUGGGAUAACUUCGGGAAACCGGAGCUAAUACCGGAUAAUAUUUUGAACCGCAUGGUUCAAAAGUGAAAGACGGUCUUGCUGUCACUUAUAGAUGGAUCCGCGCUGCAUGAGCUAGUUGGUAAGGUAACGGCUUACCAAGGCAACGAUGCAUAGCCGACCUGAGAGGGUGAUCGGCCACACUGGAACUGAGCCACGGUCCAGACUCCUACGGGAGGCAGCAGUAGGGAAUCUUCCGCAAUGGGCGAAAGCCUGACGGAGCAACGCCGCGUGAGUGAUGAAGGUCUUCGGAUCGUAAAACUCUGUUAUUAGGGAAGAACAUAUGUGUAAGUAACUGUGCACAUCUUGACGGUACCUAAUCAGAAAGCCACGGCUAACUACGUG
rnacentral:rRNA from 1 species